UUGCUACUUUGCUGACGAGCGGCGGCACGGGUGAGUAAUGCUUGGGAACAUGCCUUGAGGUGGGGGACAACAGUUGGAAACGACUGCUAAUACCGCAUAAUGUCUACGGACCAAAGGGGGCUUCGGCUCUCGCCUUUAGAUUGGCCCAAGUGGGAUUAGCUAGUUGGUGAGGUAAUGGCUCACCAAGGCGACGAUCCCUAGCUGGUUUGAGAGGAUGAUCAGCCACACUGGGACUGAGACACGGCCCAGACUCCUACGGGAGGCAGCAGUGGGGAAUAUUGCACAAUGGGCGCAAGCCUGAUGCAGCCAUGCCGCGUGUGUGAAGAAGGCCUUCGGGUUGUAAAGCACUUUCAGUCAGGAGGAAAGGUUAACGGUUAAUACCCGUUAGCUGUGACGUUACUGACAGAAGAAGCACCGGCUAACUCCGUGCCAGCAGCCGCGGUAAUACGGAGGGUGCGAGCGUUAAUCGGAAUUACUGGGCGUAAAGCGUACGCAGGCGGUUUGUUAAGCGAGAUGUGAAAGCCCCGGGCUCAACCUGGGAACUGCAUUUCGAACUGGCAAACUAGAGUGUGAUAGAGGGUGGUAGAAUUUCAGGUGUAGCGGUGAAAUGCGUAGAGAUCUGAAGGAAUACCGAUGGCGAAGGCAGCCACCUGGGUCAACACUGACGCUCAUGUACGAAAGCGUGGGGAGCAAACGGGAUUAGAUACCCCGGUAGUCCACGCCGUAAACG
rnacentral:rRNA from 1 species